rnacentral:rRNA from 1 species
CCUACGGGCGGCAGCAGUGGGGAAUAUUGCACAAUGGGGGAAACCCUGAUGCAGCGACGCCGCGUGAGAGAAGAAGAAGUGCGGUAGGGAAAGCUCUAACAGCAGGGAAGAAAAUGACGGUACCUGAGUAAGAAGCUCCGGCUAAAUACGUGCCAGCAGCCGCGGUAAUACGUAUGGAGCAAGCGUUAUCCGGAUUUACUGGGUGUAAAGGGAGCGCAGGCGGCCUUGCAAGUCUGAUGUGAAAUACCGGGGCUCAACCCCGGAGCUGCAUUGGAAACUGUGAGGCUGGAGUGUCGGAGAGGCAGGCGGAAUUCCUCGUGUAGCGGUGACAUGCGUAGAUAUUCGGAGGAACACCAGUGGCGAAGGCGGCCUGCUGGACGAUGACUGACGCUGAGGCUCGAAAGCGUGGGGAGCAAACAGGAUUAGCUACCCCGGUAGUC